rnacentral:rRNA from 1 species
CACCGCGGUUAUACGAGAGACCCAAAUUGAUGAAAAACGGCGUAAAGCGUGGUUAAGAAAAUAAGAAAAAUAGGGUCGAACAGCCUCAAAGCAGUUAUACGCAUUCGAGGCCACGAAGCACAGUCACGAAAGUGGCCCUACUAACCCCUGAUUCCACGAAAGCCAUAAAA